CCCCCCUCACCUCUUCCAUCACCAGAGUGGUACCUGGGACUGCUUCACUGUUGGAUGGCCUCGCAAUAUCCGCACCCAGAAACACCUCUCGAAUGUCUUUCAAAAACGCCGGGAAGAUAAAAGGGUGUUAGAGCGUGUAGAAUCUGACUUGGUGCCCAGGCGAGUGUGUCGUAGUCUCACUCGUGAUUACUACCGAACUUUACUCUCUCGUAGAAACUCUGCUUUUGACUACAAAUAUGACAGCAGUGCACCUUACCAACAUUCAUUCUUAGGCAUUAGAGAUCCAGAGCUGAUCUGCACAGAGCCCUAUGACUCUAACUACUGCUUGGGCGACCCGACACCCAUCCCUUUUAUGCCGUCAAGCCAUCGUUUACA